rnacentral:rRNA from 1 species
AUUGAACGCUGGCGGCAUGCUUUACACAUGCAAGUCGAACGGCAGCGGGGAGGAGCUUGCUUCUCUGCCGGCGAGUGGCGAACGGGUGAGUAAUACAUCGGAACGUGUCGAGAAGAGGGGGAUAACCACCGAAAGGGUGGCUAAUACCGCAUAAAUUCUGAGGAAGAAAGCUGGGGACCUAGGAAUAGGCCUAGCGCUUUUUGAGCGGCCGAUGUCGGAUUAGCUAGUUGGUGAGGUAAAGGCUCACCAAGGCGAAGAUCUGUAGCGGGUCUGAGAGGAUGAUCCGCCACACUGGGACUGAGACACGGCCCAGACUCCUACGGGAGGCAGCAGUGGGGAAUUUUGGACAAUGGGGGCAACCCUGAUCCAGCCAUGCCGCGUGUAUGAAGAAGGCCUUAGGGUUGUAAAGUACUUUUGUUAGGGAAGAAAAGUCAGCUGUGAAUAAUGGCUGAUACUGACGGUACCUAAAGAAUAAGCACCGGCUAACUACGUG